rnacentral:rRNA from 1 species
UACGUAGGGUGCGAGCGUUAAUCGGAAUUACUGGGCGUAAAGCGUGCGCAGGCGGUUUUGUAAGCCAGAUGUGAAAUCCCCGGGCUUAACCUGGGAAUGGCAUUUGGGACUGCAAGGCUGGAGUUUGGCAGAGGAGACUGGAAUUCAUGGUGUAGCAGUGAAAUGCGUAGAGAUCAUGAGGAAGACCAGUGGCGAAGGCGGGUCUCUGGACAGUUCCUGACACUGAGGCACGAAGGCCAGGGGAGCAAACGGG